rnacentral:rRNA from 1 species
AACGCUGGCGGAGUGCCUAACACAUGCAAGUCUAACUAAUCAAUCAGGAGGAAGUUUUCGGAUGGAAUCCUGGUUGACUGAGUGGCGGACGGGUGAGUGACGCGUGGAUAACCUGCCUCAGACUGGGGGAUAACAGUUAAAAAUGGCUGCUAAUACCGCAUAAACGCACAGUACCGCAUGGUACGGUGUGAAAAACCCAUGUGGUGUGAGAUGGAUCCGCGUCUGAUUAGCCAGAUGGCGGGGUAACGGCCCACCAAAGCGACGAUCACUAGCCGACCUGAAAGGGUGACCGGUCACAUUGGGACUGAGACACGGGCCAAACUCCUACGGGAGGCACCAGUGGGGAAUAUUGCACAAUGGGCGGAAGCCUGAUGCAUCGACGCCGCGUGAGUGAAGAAGUAUCUCGGUAUGUAAAGCUCUAUCACCAGGGAAGAAAAUGACGGUACCUGACUAACAAGCCCCGGCUAACUACGUGCCACCAGCCGCGGUAAUACAUAUGGGGCAAGCGUUAUCCGGAUUUACUGGGUGUAAAGGGAGCGUAGACGGCGACGCAAGUCUGGACUGAAAGCCCGGGGCCCAGCCCCGGUACUGCUUUGGAAACUGUGCUGCUGGAGUGCAUGAGAGGUAAAUGGAAUUCCUAGUGUAGCGGAGAGAUGCGUAGAUAUUAGGACGAACACCAGUGGCGAAAGCGGCUUACUGGACUGUAACUGACGUUGAC